rnacentral:lncRNA from 1 species
GCCCCGUUUGUCUUAGCUAGACUAUUUAAAACAGAUAGCGCUCACACCCUUAAUCCUAUACCCUUAGGCCUAACAUUAUACCACCAAUCAAUUUUGGCAUCACACUCUCUAGAAGUAGGUAAGUAGAGAAACAGAGAAGUUCAAGUUCUCAUAAUGAACAGCAAAGUUCUUUAGCAAACAGCAGAACCUGAGUACAGCAAUCUGACUCCAGAACCUCAGUUCCUAACUGUUCCACCAUGCUGGCUUCUAUGGGUACGCAUUAGAUUGUUCCUUCCGUGAUCUCACUCGGGGGUGAGCUAUUCAGUCGGAGAAAUAGAGCUCCGGGGACAGCAACCUGAAAUCAAUCAAAAGCAUUGUGAGAACAAGAGAUUUCGAAGCAACCGGCCAGGUCUCCAGGAAGUCACUCAGGCAGGAGCUGGGGAACUGUACAAAAUGGCGACAGGGGUGGAGCAAGAGGAUCUGUGAAGGACGUGAAGCUUUGACCAGGCUGUGCGGCAGGCUGUAUUAUGAUUGGCUGGAGGCACUGUUCUGCUGCCUUCUCUGUGUCCUGUGACAUCACUUACGUGUCUCACCGUUAGCAGACUCUCAACCCCCAGCCUUUCUUUCUGUCUAGAUCCAGGAACAGGAGGGCCACACCCAACAGCUAUAAAGGCAGGAAGCAUCCACAAGACUGAAGCACAAAAACAUGAAAACCAAGUGUGUGUGCACAACGUUCCAACUAACCGUCAUGCAGAAGUCUGUUUCACACACAUCAGAUGGCACCCUGUGUGACACAACGCAGACCCGCAGACCCCUGUGUGUGGAUUCUACGGACUGUUAGGGGAAGAUUGUCUCUGUCCAUUGGGAGGGAAGGACUACAAGCUGCAAACAGUCAGAUGGAUUUUGUAAAUCAGGUUGCUCAUGUAUUCUUUUUUUGAAAAAGGAUUUUUUGAGAGCCGUUGUCAUCUCACAGCAAAAUUAAAAGAAAGGCACAGAGAUUUCCCAUGAAUCUCUCGGGCCUGCAUUUAUCCAGUCUUCCCCAUUAACACACUGGGAGGCUGAGACUGGAGGACUGCAAGUUCCAGCCCAGCCUGGAUGACUUAUCAAGACGCUGUCUGAAAAUAAAGAAAAAUAAAAGGCCUGGGAAUUUAAACAUAGGAUGUUUGGACUGUAUCCAAUAGAAUCACAUGAAUGCUGUCUCAUACUUGAACAGUUCAAAGUUUCUGGGCUGGAACCUAGGAUCUAUAAACACACAUUACAGGUUAUUCUUACUUCUGCUGUCGUCUUAACACCACAACAGAGUCCCAGCUGUGCUUCGGGAAUGAAGAGGGACCAGUGUUCCUCACAGAGAUCACCCAGACCAGGAGCCAGCAGUGACAGAUCCCUUAGGGGAGACCCGGUAGGUUCUGCUAUUCCGCAGAGCCUCCCUGACCACUGGUGCCCUUAGUCUGACACUGUAGGAUCUGGGCUUUCCUGUGGACUUCGACUCUUUCCGGAGAGGCCCAGAGAUGCCUUGUCUGCUAUUUGCCACAUGACGAAGCCCAAGACUCCUCGCUGAUCUGCUGCUAAAUUUAAGAAGCCUACAUGGUGUUAUAGACCUAUAAUCCCAGCUGUCUGGAGGCUGAGGCAGUAGGAUCUCAAGUUCUAGACCAGCCUGAGCUACAUGGUGACCAGUCUCAAACAACCAAAGGAAAAUUUAAAAAAACAUAUAUAUACUCUUUUCUAUUUUUCUCUUUCUUUUUAAUUUAAAAACCUUUUUCUCAUUUAUACAAGGAUAUAUAGGAUUUCAAGGGCC